rnacentral:rRNA from 1 species
GACGAACGCUGGCGGCGUGCUUAACACAUGCAAGUCGAACGGAAAGGCCCUGCUUUUGUGGGGUGCUCGAGUGGCGAACGGGUGAGUAACACGUGAGUAACCUGCCCUUGACUUUGGGAUAACUUCAGGAAACUGGGGCUAAUACCGGAUAGGAGCUCCUGCUGCAUGGUGGGGGUUGGAAAGUUUCGGCGGUUGGGGAUGGACUCGCGGCUUAUCAGCUUGUUGGUGGGGUAGUGGCUUACCAAGGCUUUGACGGGUAGCCGGCCUGAGAGGGUGACCGGCCACAUUGGGACUGAGACACGGCCCAGACUCCUACGGGAGGCAGCAGUGGGGAAUAUUGCACAAUGGGCGGAAGCCUGAUGCAGCAACGCCGCGUGCGGGAUGACGGCCUUCGGGUUGUAAACCGCUUUCGCCUGUGACGAAGCGUGAGUGACGGUAAUGGGUAAAGAAGCACCGGCUAACUACGUGCCAGCAGCCGCGGUGAUACGUAGGGUGCGAGCGUUGUCCGGAUUUAUUGGGCGUAAAGGGCUCGUAGGUGGUUGAUCGCGUCGGAAGUGUAAUCUUGGGGCUUAACCCUGAGCGUGCUUUCGAUACGGGUUGACUUGAGGAAGGUAGGGGAGAAUGGAAUUCCUGGUGGAGCGGUGGAAUGCGCAGAUAUCAGGAGGAACACCAGUGGCGAAGGCGGUUCUCUGGGCCUUUCCUGACGCUGAGGAGCGAAAGCGUGGGGAGCGAACAGGCUUAGAUACCCUGGUAGUCCACGCUGUAAACGGUGGGUACUAGGUGUGGGGUCCAUUCCACGGGUUCCGUGCCGUAGCUAACGCUUUAAGUACCCCGCCUGGGGAGUACGGCCGCAAGGCUAAAACUCAAAGGAAUUGACGGGGCCCCGCACAAGCGGCGGAGCAUGCGGAUUAAUUCGAUGCAACGCGUAGAACCUUACCUGGGUUUGACAUGGAUCGGGAGUGCUCAGAGAUGGGUGUGCCUCUUUUGGGGUCGGUUCACAGGUGGUGCAUGGCUGUCGUCAGCUCGUGUCGUGAGAUGUUGGGUUAAGUCCCGCAACGAGCGCAACCCUUGUUCACUGUUGCCAGCACGUUAUGGUGGGGACUCGCGGGAGACUGCCGGGGUCAACUCGGAGGAAGGUGGGGAUGACGUCAAAUCAUCAUGCCCCUUAUGUCUUGGGCUUCACGCAUGCUACAAUGGCCGGUACAGAGGGCUGCGAUACCGUGAGGUGGAGCGAAUCCCUUAAAGCCGGUCUCAGUUCGGAUCGGUGUCUGCAACUCGACACCGUGAAGUUGGAGUCGCUAGUAAUCGCAGAUCAGCAACGCUGCGGUGAAUACGUUCUCGGGCCU